AGCGAACAUUGGCGGUAGGCUUAACACAUGCAAGUCGAGCGAGGCGUAAUAGUCGAGCGGCGAACGGGUGAGUAAUACAUGGGAAUCUACCCUGAAGUGGGGGAUAACGUUCAGAAAUGGAGGCUAAUACCGCAUAAUCCACAUUGGGAAAGCGUUGCAGCGCUUUAGGAUGAGCCCAUGGCUGAUUAGCUAGUUGGUGAGGUAAUGGCUCACCAAGGCGACGAUCAGUAGCUGGUCUGAGAGGAUGAUCAGCCACACUGGAACUGAGACACGGUCCAGACUCCUACGGGAGGCAGCAGUGGGGAAUCUUGCGCAAUGGGGGCAAUCCUGACGCAGCCAUACCGCGUGAGUGAUGAAGGUCUUCGGAUUGUAAAGCUCUUUCGGCGGGGACGACGAUGACGGUACCCGCAAAAGAAGUCACGGCUAACUUCGUGCCAGCCGCCGCCGUAA
rnacentral:rRNA from 1 species